UACUGUAGCUCAUAGCGAGUAGG
rnacentral:piRNA from 1 species